UACGUAGGGGGCAAGCGUUGUCCGGAAUCAUUGGGCGUAAAGAGCGUGUAGGCGGUCCGGUCAGUCGGUUGUGAAAGUCAAGGGCUCAACCCUUGAAUGCCGGCCGAUACUGCCGGGCUAGAGUCCGGAAGAGGUGAGUGGAAUUCCUGGUGUAGCGGUGAAAUGCGCAGAUAUCAGGAGGAACACCGAUGGCGAAGGCAGCUCACUGGGACGUAACUGACGCUGAGGCGCGAAAGCGUGGGGAGCAAACAGG
rnacentral:rRNA from 1 species